UACGGAGGGUGCAAGCGUUGUUCGGAAUUACUGGGCGUAAAGCGCCUGUAGGUGGUUCAAGUAGUUGGGUGUGAAAUCCCCGGGCUCAACCCGGGAACUGCGCCCAAAACCAUUGAACUAGAGUGCUAGAAGGGUACGUGGAAUUCCCAGUGUAGCAGUGAAAUGCGUAGAUAUUGGGAGGAACACCGGUGGCAAAGGCUAUGUACUGGCUAGCAACUGACACUAAGAGGCGAAAGCAUGGGUAGCAAACAGG
rnacentral:rRNA from 1 species